rnacentral:rRNA from 1 species
UUGUAAAGCACUUUCAGUAGGGAGGAAGGUAGUGUAGUUAACACCUGCAUUAUUUGACGUUACCUACAGAAGAAGCACCGGCUAACUCCGUGCCAGCAGCCGCGGUAAUACGGAGGGUGCGAGCGUUAAUCGGAAUUACUGGGCGUAAAGCGCAUGCAGGCGGCCUGUUAAGUCAGAUGUGAAAGACCCGGGGCGUUAACCUACGGUAAAUUGCAUUUAGUAAACUAGGCGAGGCUAGAGUCUUGUAGAGGGGGGUAGGAAUUUCAGGUGUAGCGGUGAAAUGCGUAGAGAUCUGAAGGAAUACCAGUGGCGAAGGCGGCCCCCUGGACAAAGACUGACGCUCAGAUGCGAAAGCGUGGGGAGCAAACAGGAUUAGAUACCCUGGUAG